GACGAACGCUGGCGGCGUGCUUAACACAUGCAAGUCGAACGGAAAGGCCCUGCUUUUGUGGGGUGCUCGAGUGGCGAACGGGUGAGUAACACGUGAGUAACCUGCCCUUGACUUUGGGAUAACUUCAGGAAACUGGGGCUAAUACCGGAUAGGAGCUCCUGCUGCAUGGUGGGGGUUGGAAAGUUUCGGCGGUUGGGGAUGGACUCGCGGCUUAUCAGCUUGUUGGUGGGGUAGUGGCUUACCAAGGCUUCGGCGGGUAGCCGGCCUGAGAGGGUGACCGGCCACAGUGGGACUGAGGUACGGCCCAGACUCCUACGGGAGGCAGCGGUGGAGAAUAUUGCACAAUGGGCGGAAGCCUGAUGCAGCAACGCCGCGUGCGGGAUGACGGCCUUCGGGGUGUAAACCGCUUUCGCCUGUGACGAAGCGUGAGUGACGGUAAUGGGUAAAGAAGCACCGGCUAACUACGUG
rnacentral:rRNA from 1 species